CAACCUCAACUCAUAUGGGACUACCCCCUGAAUUUAAGCAUAUUAAUUAGGGGAGGAAAAGAAACUAACAAGGAUUUUCUUAGUAGCGGCGAGCGAAAAGAAAUCAGUUCAGCACUAAGUCACUUUGUCUAUAUGGCAAAUGUGAGAUGCAGUGUAUGGAGCGUCAAUAUUCUAGUAUGAGAAAUUAACGAUUUAAGUCCUUCUUAAAUGAGGCCAUUUACCCAUAGAGGGUGCCAGGCCCGUAUAACGUUAAUGAUUACUAGAUGAUGUUUCCAAAGAGUCGUGUUGCUUGAUAGUGCAGCACUAAGUGGGUGGUAAACUCCAUCUAAAACUAAAUAUAACCAUGAGACCGAUAGUAAACAAGUACCGUGAGGGAAAGUUGAAAAGAACUCUGAAUAGAGAGUUAAACAGUACGUGAAACUGCUUAGAGGUUAAGCCCGAUGAACCUGAAUAUCCGUUAUGGAAAAUUCAUCAUUAGAAUUGUAAUAUUUAAACAAUAUUAUGAUAAUAGUGUGCAUUUUUUCCAUAUAAGGACAUUGUAAUCUAUUAGCAUACCAAAUUUAUCAUAAAAUAUAACUUAUAGUUUAUUCAAAUUAAUUUGCUUGCAUUUUAACACAGAAUAAAUGUUAUUAAUUUGAUAAAGUGCUGAUAGAUUUAUAUGAAUACAGUGCGUUAAUUUUUCGGAAUUAUAUAAUGGCAUAAUUAUCAUUGAUUUUUGUGUUUAUUAUAUGCACUUGUAGGAUUAACAAUGCGAAAGAUUCAGGAUACCUUCGGGACCCGUCUUGAAACACGGACCAAGGAGUCUAACAUAUGUGCAAGUUAUUGGGAUAUAAACCUAAUAGCGUAAUUAACUUGACUAAUAAUGGGAUUAGUUUUUUAACUAUUUAUAGCUAAUUAACACAAUCCCGGGGCGUUCUAUAUAGUUAUGUAUAAUGAUAUUUAUAUUAUUUAUGCCUCUAACUGGAACGUACCUUGAGCAUAUAUGCUGUGACCCGAAAGAUGGUGAACUAUACUUGAUCAGGUUGAAGUCAGGGGAAACCCUGAUGGAAGACCGAAACAGUUCUGACGUGCAAAUCGAUUGUCAGAAUUGAGUAUAGGGGCGAAAGACCAAUCGAACCAUCUAGUAGCUGGUUCCUUCCGAAGUUUCCCUCAGGAUAGCUGGUGCAUUUUAAUAUUAUAUAAAAUAAUCUUAUCUGGUAAAGCGAAUGAUUAGAGGCCUUAGGGUCGAAACGAUCUUAACCUAUUCUCAAACUUUAAAUGGGUAAGAACCUUAACUUUCUUGAUAUGAAGUUCAAGGUUAUGAUAUAAUGUGCCCAGUGGGCCACUUUUGGUAAGCAGAACUGGCGCUGUGGGAUGAACCAAACGUAAUGUUACGGUGCCCAAAUUAACAACUCAUGCAGAUACCAUGAAAGGCGUUGGUUGCUUAAAACAGCAGGACGGUGAUCAUGGAAGUCGAAAUCCGCUAAGGAGUGUGUAACAACUCACCUGCCGAAGCAACUAGCCCUUAAAAUGGAUGGCGCUUAAGUUGUAUACCUAUACAUUACCGCUAAAGUAGAUGAUUUAUAUUACUUGUAAUAUAAAUUUUGAAACUUUAGUGAGUAGGAAGGUACAAUGGUAUGCGUAGAAGUGUUUGGCGUAAGCCUGCAUGGAGCUGCCAUUGGUACAGAUCUUGGUGGUAGUAGCAAAUAAUCGAAUGAGACCUUGGAGGACUGAAGUGGAGAAGGGUUUCGUGUGAACAGUGGUUGAUCACGAGUUAGUCGGUCCUAAGUUCAAGGCGAAAGCCGAAAAUUUUCAAGUAAAAUACAAAUGCCAAACAAAUAUAUAUAUUAUAUAAAAUCUAGCUAAAUUAAUAUACUUGAAUAAUUUUGAACGAAAGGGAAUACGGUUCCAAUUCCGUAACCUGUUGAGUAUCCGUUUGUUAUUAAAUAUGGGCCUCGUGCUCAUCCUGGCAACAGGAACGACCAUAAAGAAGCCGUCGAGAGAUAUCGGAAGAGUUUUCUUUUCUGUUUUAUAGCCGUACUACCAUGGAAGUCUUUCGCAGAGAGAUAUGGUAGAUGGGCUAGAAGAGCAUGACAUAUACUGUUGUGUCGAUAUUUUCUCCUCGGACCUUGAAAAUUUAUGGUGGGGACACGCAAACUUCUCAACAGGCCGUACCAAUAUCCGCAGCUGGUCUCCAAGGUGAAGAGUCUCUAGUCGAUAGAAUAAUGUAGGUAAGGGAAGUCGGCAAAUUAGAUCCGUAACUUCGGGAUAAGGAUUGGCUCUGAAGAUUGAGAUAGUCGGGCUUGAUUGGGAAACAAUAACAUGGUUUAUGUGCUCGUUCUGGGUAAAUAGAGUUUCUAGCAUUUAUGUUAGUUACUUGUUCCCCGGAUAGUUUAGUUACGUAGCCAAUUGUGGAACUUUCUUGCUAAAAUUUUUAAGAAUACUAAUUGGGUUAAACCAAUUAGUUCUUAUUAAUUAUAACGAUUAUCAAUUAACAAUCAAUUCAGAACUGGCACGGACUUGGGGAAUCCGACUGUCUAAUUAAAACAAAGCAUUGUGAUGGCCCUAGCGGGUGUUGACACAAUGUGAUUUCUGCCCAGUGCUCUGAAUGUCAAAGUGAAGAAAUUCAAGUAAGCGCGGGUCAACGGCGGGAGUAACUAUGACUCUCUUAAGGUAGCCAAAUGCCUCGUCAUCUAAUUAGUGACGCGCAUGAAUGGAUUAACGAGAUUCCUACUGUCCCUAUCUACUAUCUAGCGAAACCACAGCCAAGGGAACGGGCUUGGAAUAAUUAGCGGGGAAAGAAGACCCUUUUGAGCUUGACUCUAAUCUGGCAGUGUAAGGAGACAUAAGAGGUGUAGAAUAAGUGGGAGAUAUUAGACCUCGGUUUGGUAUCGCCAAUGAAAUACCACUACUCUUAUUGUUUCCUUACUUACUUGAUUAAAUGGAACGUGUAUCAUUUCCUAGCCAUUAUACGGAUAUAUUUAUUAUAUCUUAUGGUAUUGGGUUUUGAUGCAAGCUUCUUGAUCAAAGUAUCACGAGUUUGUUAUAUAAUCGCAAACAAAUUCUUUAAUAAAACGGUGCAUUUAUGUAUUUUUGAUUUGAAAAUUUGGUAUAACUCCAAUUACUCAGGUAUGAUCCAAUUCAAGGACAUUGCCAGGUAGGGAGUUUGACUGGGGCGGUACAUCUCUCAAAUAAUAACGGAGGUGUCCCAAGGCCAGCUCAGUGCGGACAGAAACCACACAUAGAGCAAAAGGGCAAAUGCUGACUUGAUCUCGGUGUUCAGUACACACAGGGACAGCAAAAGCUCGGCCUAUCGAUCCUUUUGGUUUAAAGAGUUUUUAACAAGAGGUGUCAGAAAAGUUACCAUAGGGAUAACUGGCUUGUGGCGGCCAAGCGUUCAUAGCGACGUCGCUUUUUGAUUCUUCGAUGUCGGCUCUUCCUAUCAUUGUGAAGCAAAAUUCACCAAGCGUUGGAUUGUUCACCCAUGCAAGGGAACGUGAGCUGGGUUUAGACCGUCGUGAGACAGGUUAGUUUUACCCUACUAAUGACAAAACGUUGUUGCGACAGCAUUCCUGCGUAGUACGAGAGGAACCGCAGGUACGGACCAAUGGCACAAUACUUGUUCGAGCGAACAGUGGUAUGACGCUACGUCCGUUGGAUUAUGCCUGAACGCCUCUAAGGUCGUAUCCGUGCUGGACUGCAAUGAUAAAUAAGGGGCAAUUUGCAUUGUAUGGCUUCUAAACCAUUUAAAGUUUAUAAUUUACUUUUUAAACGACAAUGGAUGUGAUGCCAAUGUAAUUUGUAACAUAGUAAAUUGGGAGGAUCUUUGAUCACCUGAUGCCGCGCUAGUUACAUAUAAAAGCAUUAUUUAAUACAAUGACAAAGCCUAGAAUCAAUUGUAAACGACUUUUGUAACAGGCAAGGUGUUGUAAGUGGUUGAGCAGCUGCCAUACUGCGAUCCACUGAAGCUUAUCCUUUGCUUGAUGAUUCGA